CAUUAAAACACCAGUUCCUAUACGAUUACCGAAGUUAAGCAACAUUGAACCUGGUCAGUACCUAGAUGGGUGACCAGUUGGCAAAACCAGGUGCUGUAG